GGCUAUACAUAAAAAAAACAUAUACAAGUACUAAACUGCUUUGUUCAACCUCAAGCAUUACUGUUAUGUUGG